ACGAACGCUGGCGGCGUGGAUAAGACAUGCAAGUCGAACGAGAGAAUUGCUAGCUUGCUAAUAAUUCUCUAGUGGCGCACGGGUGAGUAACACGUGAGUAACCUGCCCCCGAGAGCGGGAUAGCCCUGGGAAACUGGGAUUAAUACCGCAUAGUAUCGAAAGAUUAAAGCAGCAAUGCGCUUGGGGAUGGGCUCGCGGCCUAUUAGUUAGUUGGUGAGGUAACGGCUCACCAAGGCGAUGACGGGUAGCCGGUCUGAGAGGAUGUCCGGCCACACUGGAACUGAGACACGGUCCAGACACCUACGGGUGGCAGCAGUCGAGAAUCAUUCACAAUGGGGGAAACCCUGAUGGUGCGACGCCGCGUGGGGGAAUGAAGGUCUUCGGAUUGUAAACCCCUGUCAUGUGGGAGCAAAUUAAAAAGAUAGUACCACAAGAGGAAGAGACGGCUAACUCUGUGCCAGCAGCCGCGGUAAUACAGAGGUCUCAAGCGUUGUUCGGAAUCACUGGGCGUAAAGCGUGCGUAGGCUGUUUCGUAAGUCGUGUGUGAAAGGCGCGGGCUCAACCCGCGGACGGCACAUGAUACUGCGAGACUAGAGUAAUGGAGGGGGAACCGGAAUUCUCGGUGUAGCAGUGAAAUGCGUAGAUAUCGAGAGGAACACUCGUGGCGAAGGCGGGUUCCUGGACAUUAACUGACGCUGAGGCACGAAGGCCAGGGGAGCGAAAGGGAUUAGAUACCCCUGUAGUCCUGGCAGUAAACGGUGCACGCUUGGUGUGCGGGGAAUCGACCCACUGCGUGCCGGAGCUAACGCGUUAAGCGUGCCGCCUGGGGAGUACGGUCGCAAGAUUAAAACUCAAAGAAAUUGACGGGGACCCGCACAAGCGGUGGAGUAUGUGGCUUAAUUCGAUGCAACGCGAAGAACCUUACCUGGGCUUGACAUGUAAUGAACAACAUGUGAAAGCAUGCGACUCUUCGGAGGCGUUACACAGGUGCUGCAUGGCCGUCGUCAGCUCGUGUCGUGAGAUGUUUGGUUAAGUCCAGCAACGAGCGCAACCCCUGUUGCCAGUUACCAGCACGUGAAGGUGGGGACUCUGGCGAGACUGCCCAGAUCAACUGGGAGGAAGGUGGGGACGACGUCAGGUCAGUAUGGCCCUUAUGCCCAGGGCUGCACACGUACUACAAUGCCCAGUACAGAGGGGGCCGAAGCCGCGAGGCGGAGGAAAUCCUAAAAACUGGGCCCAGUUCGGACUGUAGGCUGCAACCCGCCUACACGAAGCCGGAAUCGCUAGUAAUGGCGCAUCAGCUACGGCGCCGUGAAUACGUUCCCGGGUCUUGUACACACCGCCCGUCACAUCAUGGAAGCCGGUCGCACCCGAAGUAUCUGAAGCCAACCGCAAGGAGGCAGGGUCCUAAGGUGAGACUGGUAACUGGGAUG
rnacentral:rRNA from 1 species